rnacentral:rRNA from 1 species
UACGUAGGUGGCGAGCGUUGUCCGGAUUUACUGGGCGUAAAGAGCGCGCAGGCGGUCGUCCAAGUCGCGUGUGAAAGCCCCCGGCUCAACUGGGGAGGGUCACGCGAUACUGAUCGACUCGAAGGCAGGAGAGGGAAGCGGAAUUCCCGGUGUAGUGGUGAAAUGCGCAGAUAUCCGGAGGAACACCAGUGGCGAAGGCGGCUUCCUGGCCUGUUCUUGACGCUGAGGCGCGAAAGCUAGGGGAGCAAACGGGG